GCCGACUUAGCUCAGUGGUAGUAGCACCAAUUUUGUAAAUUGGGGGUCGUCGGUUCAAAUCCGACAGUCGGCU
rnacentral:tRNA from 1 species